UGACAUAGUGAAGGAGUCAGUUUAUUCCAAAUGCCGAAGUGCUUACUCCACCUUACAUUUUACAAGUUUACAAUUUUGGAGUCAUUUGAACUACUCGUUGGCUCAGUGGUGCAAUAUUUUUUUAAAGUUAUUUCUGCCCGUAAUAGACACUUUUAGACCUGCAGUGAUGAGUAAGCCCCGGAGGCAAGAUACAAUAAAGAUUUAAGGGGCUGUUCAGUGCAGUUCUGGAGCUGCUUUGUGGAGGAGAGGAGCAGAAGCGGGAGGGCUGGUCUGGCGUGUGAUUAUUUCUGACAAUGCUGUGGUUUAAUUUUCAAUUUAUGCCGCCUCUCUGGGGCACUGAAAAGUAUGAUCCAAAGAGAUAUAAGCUUUCAUCUAAAAUGUGAAAGGUUUUAUUUUUAAUGCUGUUGUUCUUUUUAGAUUUGGUAAACAAACUGUGUUUGAAGCAGAUAGCAUAUCCAGAAAUGGAACCCAAACUACCUCCAGUGUGCGCACACCAGCCCCUUGUGAUGGGUUUUGUGUGUAUGUGGAAAAGGAUGAGACACAGUGCAUUGCAUAUUUCAGUUAUUUUCGCUGAAUAAAGAAAACCAGCUUUAUUCUAUUGUUUAUUCUACAUGAUAAAGGAAAUGUAAUCUAUUUCUUAUCAUAAAACUCUGAGUUUGCUGCAAUAUUCUCGGAGAUAUGUUUGCUGCCUCUGAAGACAUCCAUCGCGGAAGGGUUUGUAGAUGAAAUGAGAUAAUAGUUCUAGAAAUAUGCUGCUCUUCCAUAAUCCACAUUGCCACCUGUGGAAAUCUUACAGAAAACUAUUAAUAAUUGAGUCUGACGCUACAGCAGUAAAACUCACGAAAACGUGUUAAGGUGAAGUUGGCGGGAGAUAGAUGAAGAUGUAUCGACAAAGAAAAUGGUGGCGAUGACUAAACGGAGUUGGAGGCAGGGGGCCAGUGCAUACGAUCACUCGGUCAUCUGAAGAAUCGGAGGAUGAGGCUGUCACAGUGAGGCAAGGGGAUGGGAGAAGAGAGUGAUGUCUCUGUCUCUUGGGCUCUCUUGGGCUGAGCAUGAUCUGGAAGGAAGUCCAACCCUUUGCUACCAGCUCUGGGAAACGUCUGAAAAGCAAGAGCCUCUGUAGAAAGCACCUCUUUAGUUUAUGGAGAUGUUGCUGAGCUGGCCUUGAAAUGGGCACAUGAUGCCAUCCCAGCCGAUGAAAUGUGAGGACAUUAUGUUUGAGGAUGUAAGCUUGAAGCUGCUUUGGAAUAUCAGAAACUAGCCUAAGGACAAACACCAACAUUCUGAAGACGGCAGAGCAAAAGAUGGAAAGAAGGAAGAUUAGCCCUGAGCUAACGUCCGUCACCAAUCCUCUUCUUUUUGCUGAGGAAGACUGGGCCUGAGCUAACAUCCAUGCCCAUCUUCCUCUACUCCAUAUGUGGGUUGCCUACCACAGCAUGGUUUUUGCCAAGCAGUGCCGUGUCCGCACCUGGGAUCCAAACCGGUGAACCCCGGGCCACCAAGAAGCGGAACGUGGGAACCUAACUGCUACGCCACCAGGCCGGCCCCCUACAAUAAUCUUGAUACAGAAGUACUGGGCCUGCAAUCAGACAGAUGGGGCCUACCAGCCUACUUGUUUUUUCUGCCACAUGUGCCACAACUGGUAGGCCGAUCAGAAUCAAAGGCAGAGCCCUGAAAUUCAGAUUUUGUUUCCUGAACCAUAUUUACCUCUCAGGCUUCUGCCAGGUCUUUACAUUUUAUAAGGCAAAAAUUGAAAGUUUCUGGCACACUCAGACAUGGGACCAGAAGACAAUAAAGCUAUUCAUCACUUUUGGCAUGAAUCUGUCUGUUCUUAGAAGAAUCUUAAAUUGUCAUUGACUUUAAGACAUUUUCAGCUUAAAAACCCUACAUCUAUGUAAGUCCAUGUGUUCUUUGUGUACUUUUGUGUUCUAUUCCAAACUCAGCCACAAAAGUAAACUUUUGGUAAAAAUGGUUCAGGUUCAGCAAAAUACCAAAUAGGAUUUGCCAAAAGUUAUUCUCCCUUAUAUUUUAAACCGCUGUGCAUUGUGGGGAAAACACAAUCCACUUGUCUCUAAUUCAUUUAUACUUAAUAAAGUAGAAAGUAAUAAAGUGAAAUAUUUUAUUAGUUGUCCACUGUCCGAACGGCCUUUUGAGAUUCUUGUAUAGUUUUCUUUUCUCUUGUCUUCCCUGUCUACGCUGACCUCAACUAAAAGACAUUUUCUAACUAGUGAUGCUUAAAUAGUAAAAGACUCCUUUCACUUUGAAACCUAGUAAAAUAUGCACCCUUGUUUCUCAUUUUUUAUCAAAGUAUUUAUGACCUGAUCAUUUGAAUGUAAUUUUCAAACACUUAACAAAGAUCUUACUGAAUUGUAUGGUUUUCUUUUGACGUUAAAACAGGGAGAAAAAGAACUCUAAGUAUGUUAAAACACUUCCAAGUUUUCCAGUUUGUUUCAGAAGAAAGGUUAAAUAAUUGCUAUCUUGUUCUUUUCACUAUUUGAUCCUACUUUAGAUAAUUUAAUAUAAAUGAACAUUUUAAGUUAAAACAUUUUUUGGAAGCAGCAUCCAAACCAUGAUGUGUCUUUUCCCGUAUCAAAUAUUCAUAUAUGUGAUUUGAUAUGGAAGAGUUGGCUUUUCCUGACCACUCCUCCCACCACAAUCAAACACACCCAAUCCCUAUUAUCCAUAUCUGAUUUCCUUUUGAAAAUAAUGUAAUACAUCUGCUGUAAUCCUGGGGAGAUGUGGGGGAGACGUAAAUUCUGAUAAAAGUCAGACAUGUUGAUGACAGUCUGCAGCCCGAUACACUUGAAAAUACUGUGCAAGAUGCAAAGGAAAUUUCGUGAAAUGAUAACCCAUGGAAGAGCACUAUAUGUGAAGAGCAUCCAGGGAGCUACAGAGUCAGAGUGCUACAGCAUGAGGAUAGAGACUGUUUUCCAGAGAAGUAAAUUCCCUAACUUCAAUCCCUAUGUCAAACGGACUGAUCCAUGUCAGAAACAUUUUCUCUCUAAACUGAAUCUCUCAUACUGUUAUUAAAUUCUUUUAUUUCAUCAAGUCCUCUGUAAACAUUCAAUCGGCUGGAUUCCAAACUCUCCUGUAGUAAUGUAUUUUGUUCUUGAAAACUGUUAAUAAACCUUAGGACCUUAGAAAGGGUGUAUAGAAAUGAGACAUUGAGAACCACUUCAUAAUGGAAUCUACUAGAGAGCAAAGCACAGCUUAUUGGGUAAUUACAUGGAUGCUGGAGGCAGGUGGCAUGGGUUUAAAACUUUACUCUGGUAUUUUCUACACAUUCUCUUUGGGUAAGUUACCUAAGCUCUCUGUGCCUCAGUUUACUCAAAUAAAAAGACUAUAAAUAGUCCUUACUUGAUAUAGUUGUUGUAGAAUUUAAUAAAUUAAUUCCUAUAAAGCAAAUAUAUCUCCUUCACAACCAGCUCAUCUCUCAUCUAUUGCACUCUCUAUUACCUUUCCAGAGCCCAACGCCUACUUCUUUGUCAACAUUUGCCCAACAAAAUCUUCAAAACCAAGCUACAUAUCUACCUGCUCCUGGAAGAGCUCUGAGAUUAAUCCAAUUUAGCUCCAGUGUCUCCCACUCAGUCUUACCUCAGGACUCCAGUAGUGAAUAAACUAUUGUUAUAGGAAUUUAUUGUUCUGAAAUCAUUUCAUCCCACUUUAUAUGUCUGAUUUUUCUCUCUCCAAUGAGAAAGCCAGCUCUUGAGAGUAGAAAUAUUUUAUAUCUCUUUCAUUACUUGCUCCACUCUACCUCUUUAUCUAUACCACAUAUACAUACCGCAAUAUUCAAAAUAAUUUCUUUAGUUCAUUCAUUUCUUAAGAAAAUGUCACUAAAAGAGUUUAUUUCUUAACUUAAACAAAUUU
ensembl:lncRNA